UACGAAGGGGGCUAGCGUUGCUCGGAAUCACUGGGCGUAAAGGGUGCGUAGGCGGGUCUUAAGUCAGGGGUGAAAUCCUGGAGCUCAACUCCAGAACUGCCUUUGAUACUGAAGAUCUUGAGUUCGGGAGAGGUGAGUGGAACUGCGAGUGUAGAGGUGAAAUUCGUAGAUAUUCGCAAGAACACCAGUGGCGAAGGCGGCUCACUGGCCCGAUACUGACGCUGAGGCACGAAAGCGUGGGAGCAAACAGG
rnacentral:rRNA from 1 species